AACGAACGCUGGCGGCGCGCCUAAUACAUGCAAGUCGAGCGAGAAGACGUAGCAAUACGUUUGUAAAGCGGCGAACGGGUGAGGAAUACAUGGGUAACCUACCCUCGAGUGGGGAAUAACUAGCCGAAAGGUUAGCUAAUACCGCGUACGCUCCUUGGACUUCGGUUCAGGGAGGAAAGCGAUACCGUGGGUAUCGCGCUCUUGGAUGGGCUCAUGUCCUAUCAGCUUGUUGGUGAGGAACGGCUCACCAAGGCUUCGACGGGUAGCUGGUCUGAGAGGACGAUCAGCCACACUGGCACUGCGACACGGGCCAGACUCCUACGGGAGGCAGCAGUAAGGAAUAUUGCGCAAUGGGCGAAAGCCUGACGCAGCGACGCCGCGUGGGGGAUGAAGGUCUUCGGAUUGUAAACCCCUUUCGGGAGGGAAGAUGG
rnacentral:rRNA from 1 species